rnacentral:rRNA from 1 species
UACAGAGGUGGCAAGCGUUGUUCGGAAUUACUGGGCGUAAAGGGCGCGUAGGCGGUCUUUUAAGUCUUGUGUGAAAUCCCUCGGCUCAAACUGAGGAACUGCACGGGAUACUGGAAGACUUGAGUUCGGGAGAGGGAAGCGGAAUUCCGGGUGUAGCGGUGAAAUGCGUAGAUAUCCGGAGGAACACCGGUGGCGAAGGCGGCUCCUGGACCGAUUACUGUCGCUGAGCGCGAAGCU